AUGGCUCAGGAUGAACGCUGGCGGCGUGCCUAAUACAUGCAAGUCGAACGAGAGAGCUUGCUCUCUAGUGGCGAACGGGUGAGUAACACGUAGGUAACCUGCCUUACAGUUGGGAUACCCUGGCGAAAGCUAGGCUAAUACCGAAUAAUUGGAUUGGAGGCAUCUCCGAUCUCUAAAAGGGGCCUUUAAAGCCUCGCUGAAUGAUGGACCUGCGGCGCAUUAGCUAGUUGGUGAGAUAACAGCCCACCAAGGCGAGGAUGCGUAGCCGACCUGAGAGGGUGAACGGCCACACUGGAACUGAGACACGGUCCAGACUCCUACGGGAGGCAGCAGUAGGGAGUUUUCGGCAAUGGGGGCAACCCUGACCGAGCAACGCCGCGUGAAUGAUGAAGGUCUUCGGAUUGUAAAGUUCUGUUAUAAGGGAAAAAUGAUAGGGUGAGGAAAUGCUCUCUAUUUGAUGGUACCUUAUUAGAAAGCCGCGGCUAACUACGUGCCAGCCGCCGC
rnacentral:rRNA from 1 species